UACGAAGGGGGCUAGCGUUGUUCGGAAUCACUGGGCGUAAAGCGCACGUAGGCGGAUCGUUAAGUCGGGGGUGAAAUCCCAGGGCUCAACCCUGGAACUGCCUUCGAUACUGGCGAUCUUCGAGUCCGGGAGAGGUGAGUGGAACUCCGAGUGUAGAGGUGAAAUUCGUAGAUAUUCGGAAGAACACCAGUGGCGAAGGCGGCUCACUGGCCCGGUACUGACGCUGAGGUGCGAAAGCGUGGGGAGCGAACAGG
rnacentral:rRNA from 1 species